UUUUAAGUAUAAUUAUGUCCCAUGCAAUCUUUGUGACAUGCUUAUACUAAAC
rfam:Myotis lucifugus cont2.39197, whole genome shotgun sequence.